AGCCUGGGGAAUUUAUUGCAAGGCAGAUGGACACAGCAGCAGCACAUAAGAGCACACGCGUGGGGCUCCAGCCCGGCCACGGGGAGACCUUUUCUCAGCAAAGGGCAGCACUGCUCGCUUUGCUGGGGCAGCCCUCCCAGGAAGAUCCCAGAAGAGAUGGUCUGAGGUGUGUGAACACUGUGAAUGUCAUGGACAAAGCUCAGCGUGGGACCCCAUGGGACUUCAGGCCCUGAAAGCAGCAGAUCUCACCUGCAUUGGAGGAUGAGACGCCACAUGAAGAAGAAAGAAGACGCCACAGACAGCAGCGCAGUACCACCUUCCAGAGAUAGUCUCACUGUGACACCUAGUUUGGACUGCAAUGGCGCGAUCUUGGCUCACUGAAACCUCCGCUUCCCAGGUCCUAAAAACAUCCUGAGUUUCUUUGGCCUGCCAGAAAGUCACCUUCCUGACUCACCUGUAAGGCUGGGAACUCCAUAAUCCAGUUGGAAAUGCAGAAAUCACCUGUCUUCUGCGUCGAUCAGGCUGGGAGCUGCAGACCGGAGCUGUUCCUAUUCGGCCAUCUUGGAAUGGACCCCCAUGUCUUAUUCUCAAAUAAAACAUUUUG
rnacentral:lncRNA from 1 species